rnacentral:rRNA from 1 species
AUGGAAGAUAACAACUUAUGCAUUUUGAAUUGGAAUGUUCGUGGAUUGAACUGCCCAGACCGUCGUUCUACUGUACAUGAAACCAUCGCCUCCACUUCUUGCAACAUUGUAUGUCUUCAAGAAACCAAGCUUGCAGCCGUGGAUCCUUUUAUCGCUGCUUUCCUAGGCAGCCAUCGUCUGAAAAGUUUCGCUGAGCGGCCCGCGAAUGGCACCCGUGAAGGAAUUCUUCUAUUAUGGAAUGAAGACCUAGUAAAGAUUGAUAAUGUGAGCUUUGGGGACUUCUUCCUCUCGGCAAUGGUGACUAUCAUUGGCUCAAACACAUCCUUCCAAAUCACAACCGUGUAUGGCCCUACUAGAGGCAAUUUGAAGGAUGCCUUUUUCCAUGAAAUGGUUGGACAAAAACCUCCUGCUGGCAUGAGAUGGAUUGUCACCGGCGACUUCAACCAAGUCUAUCGGGCCAGAGAUAAGAACCGUACAAAUGUCGAUCGCAGCCGUAUUGUUCGCUUCCGCAACGCCCUCAAUGCUUGUGAGCUAAAGGAGAUACAUUUGCAGAAUAGGAAAUUCACAUGGAGCAAUGAACAAGCAAACCCGACCAUGAGAAAACUUGAUAGCUUCUUUUGCAAUGAAGAUUGGGACAUUCAGUUUGGCUCCCACCUUCUCCACGCAUUGUCAUCUUCAUUGUCCGACCACUGCCCUCUACUCCUCGCUAGUGAUGUGGGGCCCUCCCGGCCAAAAUGCUUCCGCUUUGAAAACUUUUGGAUCAAGAUGCCUAACUUCAAGAAGACUGUCCAAGAUGCUUGGAAUGAGAGAGUCCCCCAUGUUGAACCAUGUCAAAUCCUCUUUCACAAGCUAUAA